rnacentral:rRNA from 1 species
CGCUAUCACUCCUACGGGAGGCAGCAGUGGGGAAUAUUGGACAAUGGGCGCAAGCCUGAUCCAGCCAUGCCGCGUGAGUGAUGAAGGCCUUAGGGUUGUAAAGCUCUUUUGUCCGGGACGAUAAUGACGGUACCGGAAGAAUAAGCCCCGGCUAACUUCGUGCCAGCAGCCGCGGUAAUACGAAGGGGGCUAGCGUUGCUCGGAAUCACUGGGCGUAAAGGGCGCGUAGGCGGCCGAUUAAGUCGGGGGUGAAAGCCUGUGGCUCAACCACAGAAUUGCCUUCGAUACUGGUUGGCUUGAGACCGGAAGAGGACAGCGGAACUGCGAGUGUAGAGGUGAAAUUCGUAGAUAUUCGCAAGAACACCAGUGGCGAAGGCGGCUGUCUGGUCCGGUUCUGACGCUGAGGCGCGAAAGCGUGGGGAGCAAACAGGAUUAGAUACCCUGGUAG